rnacentral:lncRNA from 1 species
AUGGCACAUGUGCCAAAGAUAGCAUGCUGAGUGCUGGAGCUCAUUACUAGGAAGGCAGAGGGAUGGAGGGGGAGCUACUCCCUGCCCCCUCUCCAUCCCACCAGACAACAUUUUUUUCACUUCACCCACCUUUCUGCCCAGAAGCCCAAUGAGAUCACACAGGGGGUAAAGUGGUCAGCUCACAAGUGGCUCUACACUGGCUGAGGACAUUCCUCACUUCACCUGCUCCUCUGUCAGGCAGCCCAAUGGGAGUACUUCCUCUCUCCCCUAUUUGGGGAUGGACCCAAGAGUGAUACAUGAUUGGAGCCAAGAUUUAGGCUUGAUGUCAGGAGAACUUUUGAACAAAGCAAGCUAACUGCCCACCUGGUGGGCUGCUUCAGAAGAGGGUGAGCUGCCCUUCCUUGGAGGUCUUCAAACAAAGGAUCAAGGGAUUUUCAGACCUGGAAGGAAUCUCAGAAGCCAUGAUGUGUCUCAUGCAUUUAAAGGAAGACCCUAUAAUAGACUUGACAUUCUUGAAGGCAUCUCAACCUGUCACAAGGCAUUGGGAGGGUUUCUUUAGAGACUAUUGGUGAGACAUGAAGGGUAAAGGGAGUGUGCCUUUGAAGAUCAACCACAGGCAUGCAGCAGUGACCGCUGAGAGUUUGUUGCACAUGGCUAUUAAGAACCUUUCUCCAAAUAGAUGUGCUUAGAAGGUGACAGGGAAUAGAGGCCAACCUGGGGCCUUCCAGACAGAUCUAUGGGCACAAAAAAUUUCCCUGUGACAGGAGACACUAUGAAGCACAAAGGAGAGAAAGAAACCCUAUUUCCUGGGGGUGGGUUGGAUGUCACGGGAUGAGGUUGGCUACUUUUCAGCUCUUGAUUUAGUGGUAGGUUAGACAAAAUCUACCAGAGAUUUUAAAGAUUAUGUCACCUCUGACUACUACCUUUCACAGAAGACCCGAGAUAUGUCCCUGUACCCAUUAGGUUCUUUAUUUUUAUACCUGCUUAUAUCACCUGUUGUUGGCAUGUGGUUCUGGGUAAUUAUCCUGGGAGUCUUCACAAAUUAAUCCUGCUGUCACUUCCCAAAUGCAACAGAUAGGUCAACAGCUAUGAUUAAAUUGUCUGUGUUAAUGAGUGGUUAGCUCACAUAUGAUUAUAGUUUCCUCUCCAAGUUUCUGUAAAGCUAUUUAAAGACAUUUUAUCCACUGAAGUUAUGUACACCUAAUCCUUUGAGGCA